rnacentral:rRNA from 1 species
UCUCGCGAGUACAGUGGCGUACGGGUGAGUAACACGUGGGUAAUCUACCCUUUAGUGGGGAAUAACCCUGGGAAACCGGGGCUAAUACCGCAUAAUCCCGAGAGGGGAAAGAAGCAAUUCGCUGAAGGAGGAGCCCGCGGCCGAUUAGCUAGUUGGUGAGGUAAGAGCCCACCAAGGCAAAGAUCGGUAGCCGGCCUGAGAGGGCACACGGCCACACUGGCACUGAAACACGGGCCAGACUCCUACGGGAGGCAGCAGUGGGGAAUCUUGCACAAUGGGGGAAACCCUGAUGCAGCGACGCCGCGUGAGCGAUGAAGCCCUUCGGGGUGUAAAGCUCUUUCGGCAGGGACGAUAAUGACGGUACCUGCAGAAGCAGCUGCGGCUAACUACGUGCCAGCAGCCGCGGUAAUACGUAGGCAGCGAGCGUUGUUCGGAGUUACUGGGCGUAGAGGGUGCGUAGGCGGCCUUUUAAGUUUGGUGUGAAAUCUCCCGGCUCAACUGGGAGGGUGCGCCGGAUACUGAGAGGCUAGAGUGUGGGAAGGGAAAGUGGAAUUCCUGGUGUAGCGGUGAAAUGCGUAGA